rnacentral:rRNA from 1 species
UGAGGCCUACGGGGCGCAGCAGUGGGGAAUAUUGGGCAAUGGGCGCAAGCCUGACCCAGCAACGCCGCGUGAAGGAAGAAGGCUUUCGGGUUGUAAACUUCUUUUCUCAGGGACGAACAGAUGACGGUACCUGAGGAAUAAGCCACGGCUAACUACGUGCCAGCAGCCGCGGUAAUACGUAGGUGGCAAGCGUUAUCCGGAUCUACUGGGUGUAAAGGGCGUGUAGGCGGGGACGCAAGUCAGAUGUGAAAACCACGGGCUCAACCUGUGGCCUGCAUUUGAAACUGUGUUUCUUGAGUAAUGGG